rnacentral:rRNA from 1 species
CCCUUAGAUGUUCUGGGCUGCACACGUGCUACACUGGCAGGUUCAGCGAGCUUCAUGCCCUGAUCUGAAAGGAAUGGGAAAUCUUUUCAAAACCUGCCGUGCUUGGGAUAGAUGUUUGCAAUUAUUCAUCUUCAACGAGGAUUGCCUUGUAAGCGCACGUCAUCAGCGUGCAUUGAAUACGACCCUGUAUUCUGUACAAACCGCCCGUCGCUCCUACCGAUUGAAGUUUUCGGUGAGUUGACAGGAGGAUUUUUUUGAAACUGGUUCGCCAGUGGAUUUUAGAUCCAAAUGCCAACGAAUCGAUGGCUUUAGAGGAAGGAGAAGUCGUAACA